GUUUUUGGCUGCUUGCCUUCAAACUGCAAACUGGAAUACUUCAUCCUUUAAAAGCUUAAUAACCCGAAAACCCACCAGGAACCUAGAAUACCCGUAGUUCUCAGCCUAAAAGCUUGAGGAUGGAUAGAACAGAAAUCUAAUGUGCUUGACCUUCUCACCUCCUGCUUCUGGUCCGUGCCUCCCAUUACACCCACUCAAAGCCUCAGUGAGGCCCAAACCAUGGAAGACUUCUGCUGACAGAUGUCUCCAGAAUAGCUACUGUUCAUCUCACAGGCAAUUGAGCCCUCUAGGUCAGAGGUCCUCAAAGUGUGACUACAGUCCCCAUAAUGAGACUACCAGCAUCAGUAUCACCACCACCUGGGAACUUAUUAGAACUGAAAUUCUUGGGUCCCACUCCAGACCUCCUUAAUCAGAAACUCGGGGGGUAGAAUCCAGCAAUCUGUGUUUGAACAAGCCCUCCAGGUGAUCUGGAUGCUUGCUAAAGUUUGAGAACCACUGGUCUGGGUAAUUGAACCAACGGCAUUUGGCUGUAAUCCAUGGAGAAAUUUAUAGCACUAGGGCAAUCACUAACCUCAGUCUUGGGAAUUACGGGAGUUGGUAAACUCAUUUCAAAGGAACAAUAUUCACCUUUGAAGGUACUUGGAUGGCUGGCUGUGUGCAUUUGGAAAUAUACAGUGUUCUCCUCCCAUGGGGCUCAAGGAAGCUAAAGAAAAUCAGAGGAUUCUAAAUGCCAUUGUCCUCAUCCUAUCGCCUCCCUGCUUGCUCAGCUCCAACCCCACCUGUCUUUCUCACGUUGAACUAGCUUUAAGGAGAAGAGACACAAUUGCCAGCAGGUGAAAGGUAUCUGGGGAUCACUCGAGUUUCAACUGAUCGAGGCUGGGCUCAGCUUACCUUGGCUCCUGGUAGUGAGUUGGGUCCAGAUCUUCUCUACAUGUCUUCAUCACCUUUGAAUAAGCAAAUACUCAAGGCAUGAUCUUCUCAUAGUGGAAAGGAAGAUUAGCCUGGAGCUAACAUGUGCUGCCAAUCCUCCUCUUUUUGCUAAGGAAGACUGGCCCUGAGCUAACAUCUGUGCCCAUCUUCCUCCAGUGUAUAUGUGGG
rnacentral:lncRNA from 1 species